AAGAAGAAGAGAAGACAAUUUCAUGCCGUAUACUUGAAAUUGUUUUACCGCGUAUUGGAAAUAUCGACAAACUUCACGGUGUCGAUUUUUCGUGUCGCUCGGAACAAAAUUACUCCCCAUUACAUUUUCCCCAACGCGCCAAAAGAAGUAUAACUUCAAAAGAAAAAAAGAAAAAUGUUUAGAAAGAAAUCAAAGUAAAAGGGACAGGAGAUUAUUUUGGCUAUCUUGAACAAUCUCAAGGAGUUUCGAAAGGAAAGAAGUCAAGAAAGGGAAGGAAAAGGAAGGUGGUCCAACCAGAUCGAGUGUGUAAGAACCGAAACAGGUGCUUGAGAAUCCGGUGUGUUCUUCUUGGCGUGUGCCGACUAAGUAUACUGGCUUAAUAACGCACGCGGACCAACCGUAUGGACGAGCAGCACGCACACAUUAACAUAAAGACAGGCUGUAUAGACGAUGACACUAGGAGGGACGUGAGUUGAUUACAAAGUGGAGAAGAGGAACGGUAGUAAAAAAUACAACAAAAA
rnacentral:lncRNA from 1 species